rnacentral:rRNA from 1 species
GAAGGCCUUCGGGUUGUAAACUGCUUUUGUACGGAACGAAAAGGUCUCUAUUAAUACUAGGGGCUCAUGACGGUACCGUAAGAAUAAGCACCGGCUAACUACGUGCCAGCAGCCGCGGUAAUACGUAGGGUGCAAGCGUUAAUCGGAAUUACUGGGCGUAAAGCGUGCGCAGGCGGUUAUAUAAGACAGAUGUGAAAUCCCCGGGCUCAACCUGGGAACUGCAUUUGUGACUGUAUAGCUGGAGUGCGGCAGAGGGGGAUGGAAUUCCGCGUGUAGCAGUGAAAUGCGUAGAUAUGCGGAGGAACACCGAUGGCGAAGGCAAUCCCCUGGGCCUGCACUGACGCUCAUGCACGAAAGCGUGGGGAGCAAACAGGAUUAGAUACCCUGGUAGUCCACGCCCUAAACGAUGUCAACUGGUUGUUGGGUCUUCACUGACUCAGUAACGAAGC